GCCGGGCAUAGUGGUGUAUGCCCAUGGUCCUAGUUUCUUGGGAGGCUGAGGUGGGAGGAUCGCUUUAGCUCAGGAGGUUGAGAUUGCAGUGAGCUACGAUUGAGCCACUGUGCUCUUGCAUGGGUGACAGAGCGAGAUCCUGUCUCUA
rnacentral:SRP_RNA from 1 species